ACUGCAAAUGCCUACAUUUCAAGGAACAUUAUGAGAAAGCAAUUGAAAUGAAACCUAAAGAUGCUAUCUCAAUUUACCUGAUAAGUAUUUGGAGCUAUGCAUUUGCUGAAAUUCCUUGGUAUCAAAGAACUGCUAAAAUGCUGUUUGCACCUCCUCCUAGUUCCAUCUAUGAGGAGGCCUUGGGCUACUUUCACAGGGAGAACAGGUGGAUUCAAACUUCUGCAGCAAAAACUUGCUUCUUUUAGGAAAGACAUACUUGAAGUUAAAAAACAAAAAAGCUAGCUGCUUUCUGGUUAAUGAAAGCCAAGACUAUUCAGUACACAUAGAGGAAGAUAAACAAAUGCAGACAGAAGCUGCUCAGUUGCUUACAGGUUUGUGAAAAAAAAAAAAAUGAGACCCUUUUCAGAGAAGAAAAUGCAUGACAUAACCAGUAAACUUUGC
rnacentral:lncRNA from 1 species